CGCAGCGUACGGCUCAGUAACACGUAGUCAACCUGCCCUGGAGACGUGGACAAACCCGGGAAACUGGGGCCUAUCCGCGAUAGAUGACCUCAUCUGGAAGGAGAGGUCGUCCAAAAGGCGGCACGGGUAUGCUCCGUGCCUUUCGCUCCAGGAUGGGACUGCGGCCGAUCAGGCUGUUGGCGGGGUAAUGGCCCACCAAACCUGUAACCGGUACGGGCUUUGAGAGAAGGAGCCCGGAGAUGGACACUGAGACAAGGGUCCAGGCCCUACGGGGCGCAUCAGGCGCGGAACCUUCGCAAUGCGCGAAAGCGUGACGAGGCUAGUCCGAGUGCUUCCUGCUAAAGGGAGCUUUUCUCGGCUGUAAAUAGGUCGGGGAAUAAGGGGAGGGCAAGUCUGGUGUCAGCCGCCGCGGUAAUACCAGCUCCUCGAGUGGUCGGGACGAUUAUUGGGCCUAAAGCACCCGUAGCCGGUUCUGUAAGUCCUCUGUCAAAUCCAACCGCCCAACGGUUGGCCCGCAGAGGAUACUGCGGGACUAGGAGGCGGGAGAGGCGGACGGUACUCCGCGUGUAGGGGUAAAAUCCUUUGAUCCGCGGAAGACCACCAG
rnacentral:rRNA from 1 species